GCAAUGGUGGUUCAGUGGUAGAAUUCUCACCUUGUAUGUGGGAGACCCAAGUCUGAGUCUUGUCCAAUGAU
rnacentral:tRNA from 1 species